UACAGAGGUGGCAAGCGUUGUUCGGAAUUACUGGGCGUAAAGGGCGCGUAGGCGGCUCGAUAAGUCUUGCGUGAAAUCCCCCGGCUCAACUGGGGAACUGCGCGGGAAACUGCCGGGCUUGAGUUCGGGAGAGGGAAGCGGAAUUCCGGGUGUAGCGGUGAAAUGCGUAGAGAUCAUGAGGAAGACCAGUGGCGAAGGCGGGUCUCUGGACAGUUCCUGACACUGAGACACGAAGGCCAGGGGAGCAAACGGG
rnacentral:rRNA from 1 species